AUGAUGACUGUAAAUCCAGGUGUUAAUGCCCUCAGAUGGCCCAUCAUCUCACUGGAGAUACCUAAUAAAGCGGCCAUUAACCGACAGAAUAUGGUGAUGGGCCGUGCGCCGGACGCCGCGCCCCGACCGCUCAGGUCUCCGCUGCCGAGGGGCCUCGCGGGGAGCGGCCAUGUUGACGGCGUCGCCGCGCCUGGGACCGGGAUUCAGAAGGAGCUGGCCGACGUCACUCUAGACCCUCCGCCCAACUGCAGUGCUGGUCCUAAAGGUGACAACAUCUAUGAGUGGAGAUCUACCAUUCUAGGACCCCCAGGAUCUGUGUAUGAAGGAGGUGUAUUCUUUUUGGAUAUCACAUUUACUCCAGAAUAUCCCUUCAAACCUCCAAAGGUUACAUUUCGGACAAGAAUCUAUCACUGUAAUAUUAACAGUCAAGGAGUUAUUUGCUUGGAUAUAUUGAAGGAUAAUUGGAGCCCAGCACUAACUAUUUCUAAAGUCCUCCUUUCUAUCUGCUCACUUCUUACAGACUGUCAUCCUGCCGACCCUUUGGUGGGAAGUAUUGCCCCCCAGUAUAUGACCAACAGAGCAGAACAUGACAGAAUGGCCAGACAUGGACCAAGAGAUACGCUACAUAAAUUGAACUGA